GCUUCAGUGGAUGAGCUAUAUGCUUCGAAUUAACCAGCAAGUUAGCUGCUCCAUGCUCCCCAACCCAUGGCGAUGACGAGUGAAGUGUGCUCUAAGACCAUUGACCGCGCAAGGAAUAGUAUUAAUAAAAAGCUUAUAGGUCAAUCAUCCCAUGUAUCCUCUAAUUAGUGCAUUUUCAAAGUGCCUAAUGAACUACGAAGCGUUAAUGAAAAGGCAUAUGAACCGCGGAUAAUUGCAAUUGGUCCUUAUCA
rnacentral:misc_RNA from 1 species